GGCAGCCGCCGCGGGAACACCGGCGGCCCGAGUGGUGAUCGUGAUUAUUGGGUCUAAAGGGUCCGUAGCCGGUUUGGUCAGUCCUCCGGGAAAUCUGAUAGCUCAACUAUUAGGCUUUCGGGGGAUACUGCCAGACUUGGAACCGGGAGAGGUAAGAGGUACUACAGGGGUAGGAGUGAAAUCUUGUAAUCCCUGUGGGACCACCUGUGGCGAAGGCGUCUUACCAGAACGGGUUCGACGGUGAGGGACGAAAGCUGGGGGCACGAACCGGAUUAGAUACCCGGGUAGUCCCAGCCGUAAACGAUGCUCGCUAGGUGUCAGGCAUGGCGCGACCGUGUCUGGUGCCGCAGGGAAGCCGUGAAGCGAGCCACCUGGGAAGUACGGCCGCAAGGCUGAAACUUAAAGGAAUUGGCGGGGGAGCACAACAACGGGUGGAGCCCUGCGGUUUAAUUGGACUCAACGCCGGACAACUCACCGGGGGCGACAGCAAUAUGUAGGCCAAGCUGAAGACUUUGCCUGAAUCGCUGAGAAGAGGUGCAUGG
rnacentral:rRNA from 1 species